CAGUCGCCGCGUGAAUACGUAGGGUGCAAGCGUUAAUCGGAAUUACUGGGCGUAAAGCGUGCGCAGGCGGUUAUAUAAGACAGAUGUGAAAUCCCCGGGCUCAACCUGGGAACUGCAUUUGUGACUGUAUAGCUAGAGUACGGCAGAGGGGGAUGGAAUUCCGCGUGUAGCAGUGAAAUGCGUAGAUAUGCGGAGGAACACCGAUGGCGAAGGCAAUCCCCUGGGCCUGUACUGACGCUCAUGCACGAAAGCGUGGGGAGCAAACAGGAUUAGAUACCCGUGUAGUCCCUGUCUCUUAUAC
rnacentral:rRNA from 1 species